UACGUAGGGUGCGAGCGUUGUCCGGAAUUACUGGGCGUAAAGAGCUCGUAGGUGGCUUGUCGCGUUGUCCGUGAAAACUCACAACUCAAUUGUGGGCGUGCGGGCGAUACGGGCAGACUGGAGUACUGCAGGGGAGACUGGAAUUCCUGGUGUAGCGGUGAAAUGCGCAGAUAUCAGGAGGAACACCGGUGGCGAAGGCGGGUCUCUGGGCCGUAACUGACGCUGAGGAGCGAAAGCGUGGGGAGCGAACAGG
rnacentral:rRNA from 1 species